ACUCCGUACGGAGGCAGCAGGAUUGGGGAAUAAUUGGCACAAUGGGCGCAAGCCUGAUGCAGCCCAUGCCGCGUGUGUGAAGAAGGCCUUCGGGUUGUAAAGCACUUUCAGUCGUGAGGAAGGUAGUGUAGUUAAUAGCUGCAUUAUUUGACGUUAGCGACAGAAGAAGCACCGGCUAACUCCGUGCCAGCAGCCGCGGUAAUACGGAGGGUGCGAGCGUUAAUCGGAAUUACUGGGCGUAAAGCGCAUGCAGGUGGUUUGUUAAGUCAGAUGUG
rnacentral:rRNA from 1 species